rnacentral:rRNA from 1 species
AUUGAACGCUGGCGGCAUGCCUUACACAUGCAAGUCGAACGGCAGCACGGGAGCAAUCCUGGUGGCGAGUGGCGAACGGGUGAGUAAAUAUCGGAACGUGCCCAGUCGUGGGGGAUAACGUAGCGAAAGUUACGCUAAUACCGCAUACGAGCUAUGGAUGAAAGCGGGGGAUCGCAAGACCUCGCGCGAGUGGAGCGGCCGAUAUCAGAUUAGGUAGUUGGUGGGGUAAAGGCUCACCAAGCCGACGAUCUGUAGCUGGUCUGAGAGAACGACCAGCCACACUGGGACUGAGACACGGCCCAGACUCCUACGGGAGGCAGCAGUGGGGAAUUUUGGACAAUGGGCGAAAGCCUGAUCCAGCCAUGCCGCGUGCAGGAUGAAGGCCUUCGGGUUGUAAACUGCUUUUGUACGGAACGAAAAGGUUUGGCCUAAUAAGCUGAGCUCAUGACGGUACCGUAAGAAUAAGCACCGGCUAACUACGUGCCAGCCGCCGCCGUAA